rnacentral:rRNA from 1 species
AGAGCGAACGCUGGCGGCAGGCUUAACACAUGCAAGUCGAACGGACCCUUCGGGGUUAGUGGCGGACGGGUGAGUAACACGUGGGAACGUGCCUUUUGGUUCGGAACAACACAGGGAAACUUGUGCUAAUACCGGAUGUGCCCUUCGGGGGAAAGAUUUAUCGCCAUUAGAGCGGCCCGCGUCUGAUUAGCUAGUUGGUGGGGUAAAGGCCUACCAAGGCUACGAUCAGUAGCUGGUCUGAGAGGAUGACCAGCCACAUUGGGACUGAGACACGGCCCAAACUCCUACGGGAGGCAGCAGUGGGGAAUCUUGCGCAAUGCGCGAAAGCGUGACGCAGCAACGCCGCGUGGGGGAAGAAGGCUUUCGGGUUGUAAACCCCUUUCAGUUGGGACGAAGCUUCUCCGGUGAACAGCCGGAUGGAGUGACGGUACCUUCACAAGAAGCACCGGCUAACUACGUGCCAGCAGCCGC